AGUGAACGCUGGCGGUAGGCCUAACACAUGCAAGUCGAACGGCAGCACAGUAAGAGCUUGCUCUUACGGGUGGCGAGUGGCGGACGGGUGAGGAAUACAUCGGAAUCUACUUUUUCGUGGGGGUUAACGUAGGGAAACUUACGCUAAUACCGCAUACGACCUACGGGUGAAAGCAGGGGAUCUUCGGACCUUGCGCGAAUGAAUGAGCCGAUGUCGGAUUAGCUAGUUGGCGGGGUAAAGGCCCACCAAGGCGACGAUCCGGAGCUGGUCUGAGAGGAUGAUCAGCCACACUGGAACUGAGACACGGUCCAGACUCCUACGGGAGGCAGCAGUGGGGAAUAGUGGACAAUGGGCGCAAGCCUGAUCCAGCCAGACCGCGUGGGUGAAGAAGGCCUUCGGGUUGUAAAGCCCUUUUGUUGGGAAAGAAAAGCAGCAGGUUAAUACCCCGCUGUUCUGACGGUACCCAAAGAAUAAGCACCGGCUAACUUCGUG
rnacentral:rRNA from 1 species